UACGUAGGGGGCAAGCGUUGUCCGGAUUUACUGGGCGUAAAGAGCGUGUAGGCGGCCAGGCAGGUCUGUUGUGAAAACUGGAGGCUCAACUUCCAGACGUCGACAGAAACCGCUUGGCUAGAGUCCGGAAGAGGAGAGUGGAAUUCCUGGUGUAGCAGUGAAAUGCGUAGACAUCAGGAGGAACACCGAUGGCGAAGGCAGGUCUCUGGGCUGACACUGACGCUCAUGCACGAAAGCGUGGGGAGCAAACAGG
rnacentral:rRNA from 1 species